rfam:Stegodyphus mimosarum contig142131, whole genome shotgun sequence.
CUAAUGGCUUUUCUAAAGCCAUAGACAUUUGAAGGAAAUAUAUUU